rnacentral:rRNA from 1 species
CCCUUAGAUGUCCUGGGCUGCACGCGCGCUACACUGAUGUGUCCAGUAAGCACCUAACCUCUUCCGAAAGGAACGGGUAACCUUUGCAAAGCACAUCGUGAUGGGGAUAGAUUAUUGCAAUUAUUAGUCUUGAACGAGGAAUUCCUAGUAAGCACAAGUCAUCAGCUUGUGUUGAUUACGUCCCUGCCCUUUGUACACACCGCCCGUCGCUCCUACCGAUUGAAUGUUCCGGUGAGCUCUUCGGACUGCGCGGUAUGCAGUUUCUGCGUUCCGUGCGGAAAGUUGCGCAAACCUUAACAUUUAGAGGAAGGAGAAGUCGUAACA